rnacentral:lncRNA from 1 species
ACACGAUACGACAAAAACACGACUAAUUUUUACGUCAACACGACCGAAUCCGUGUGGACACGACACGAACACGACCCGUCCCGUUCUCACCCUUACUUGAAUCACAACAGCGAAUCCAGAAAUUUUUUCUUUAAGGGGUUAGUUUUAAAUCAUUUACUAAAUUCAAAAGUAAUUUUUUUCAAUCCAAUUGUUCUCGACAAUGUGUCGUAUUUUGAUACCGAUACAUAAUAUGAUCAUUAUUAAGUACUAACAUUAGAAAAUAAAUCUUUUUCAACAUAUGUUACUAAAAUAUCAUUUCA